rnacentral:tRNA from 1 species
UUAGAUAACAUAAUGGUAAUGUAUUAGAUUGCAAAUCUUGUAAUGACGGUUCAAUUCCGUCUCUA